CUUUAAUAAAUUGGAAUGAAUGCGCAAACCAUUUGUCAAGGAUAGAUGUGAUCGUAAAGACACCAUCAGCUGGGCAGCUUUAUGUGCGACUUGAGGUGUCUGACAACGUUUCACAUGUCAAGAGAUUUGUUAAAAGCCGUCUUGGAAUCGAAGAAAAUGAUCAAUUAUUGAUUGAUCUUUAUUCGGAUAAACCAGUUGGAGCAGACGUGGAACUACAACAGUGUGGAAAUGGCCGCUUUUGCUCAUUUUACGUAGCGACAGAUCGACAAUGUUUAAGAGAAGCAGAUUUGGAAGACCAAGAACACAAACUAAUGUACUGUCUAGUUACUGGAAGCGAGAAACUGUCAACGCUUUUGUCCAUUGCUCGCGAAAACAUCAGGACUGAACCAAUUAUUGAUUUGUCUACAAAUACAAACAAAUGCAUACUAGAACUGGACUGGUGCAAAGGGGAAACACACAUGCGCACCAUUAUUCGACUGGAAUCAGAAUCAGAAAUAAUGGAUGCCAGACAGAUGAGAGGAGCGUUGAUUCAUGUAAACACUGUCUUUCAAAGA